UGGGUGGAGCGGAGCGGCGUCCUCCCGAGUUGGGGGGGUGGAGGGGCCCUGCCUGCGGAUCCGCACGGGGUGAGGAGGAGAGGGGAGCGCGGGGCUCGCGUCCCGGGCGGCGGGAAGAGGAGGAAGAACCCCCGCCCGCGCUCCUGCUCCGUCCAGCGGCUCCCACCGGGAGCGCCGGGGCUCGGAGCCUGCUCACUCUAGUUUGUUUUGCUUUCUCCCCAGCCGACUUUCUCGUUUCUUGCUGGAGGUUAGGCCUCACGGAAACGGGCCCCUCCCUAAUUUCCACAAUCUCAAUAGUCUCAAACUGUAUAGAUGAUUCCCCUGUGCCCCCCGGUGCCACCCCAGCUCUUAAUCUUGCUUUUUUUUUUUUUUUUUUUUCUUUUUUUUUCCUUUUUGCUCCCUCCCCUCCCCCGCGCGCCUUCGGACCAGUGAGGCGCCCCGGGGCUCCGCUGGGGUGUGGUCUGCACUUUUUAAGAAACCUAGCAGCUCGCGAUAUCUGGCAACUUUUAACGCUCAGCUUUUCUGAGAGAGAUCUUUUCUCAAGCGCUGGGUUAUGGUUUUUGCCAGUGGGACGCCACAGAAUUUAAGAUUUCAUUUAGCUGGCUUCUUGAACGGUUGUAGCUGAAUUUAAACUGGAGGAGGCAGGGCGGGAUAAAAGCCAGGAAUGGGAUAAAAGCCAACUCCUUGGUGUAGUAAACAUGCAAGCUAGCCUGUUAGUGACAUAUAGCUAAAUAGUGUAAAUUUAGGGUUUGUGUGUGUGUGUGUGUGUUUAAAUGACUAUCGUAUUCAGGAAUGCCAAUAAAGUCUUCAGCAGGUAGCUUUUGUUUUGUCUGAGCACUGAAUAGCUGUUAUUCUAGGCAACUGCCUACCUUUAGAUUAUCUGAGGCUGAAAUACAAUGGCUUUGUGAAAAGCUACCUUGGAGAAAGUGAUAGUAGUUAGAUAGCUACUUCAGUAAUGGCUUAGUUGUGAUACUUCUUAAGAAGUAUGUAUACCAUUAUGUACCUGUCUUACACUCUGUGUCAGAUCUGUUGGACUGAUGCUGGGAUUUCAUGUUUUAUCUUUUUGUCUUCUCAAGUCUCAUGCAUUCAUUUGACAAACAUUUGUUGAAGGUCUAGACUUCUGUGACCAGAUUUUCUGAACUCCCAACUCAUGACAUGUGAAAAAAAAUUUUUCUGGUUCUCUGUGUUCCCAUCAUCUUUCCUUUUGCAAAUUGAAGGAAGGAAAGC